rnacentral:rRNA from 1 species
ACUUAAAUUGAAGAGUUUGAUCAUGGCUCAGAUUGAACGCUGGCGGCAGGCCUAACACAUGCAAGUCGAGCGGUAGCACAGAGAGCUUGCUCUCGGGUGACGAGCGGCGGACGGGUGAGUAAUGUCUGGGAAACUGCCUGAUGGAGGGGGAUAACUACUGGAAACGGUAGCUAAUACCGCAUAACGUCGCAAGACCAAAGUGGGGGACCUUCGGGCCUCAUGCCAUCAGAUGUGCCCAGAUGGGAUUAGCUAGUAGGUGGGGUAACGGCUC